GAUGAACGCUGGCGGCGUGCCUAAUACAUGCAAGUCGAGCGAACAGAUGAGGAGCUUGCUCCUCUGACGUUAGCGGCGGACGGGUGAGUAACACGUGGAUAACCUACCUAUAAGACUGGGAUAACUUCGGGAAACCGGAGCUAAUACCGGAUAAUAUAUUGAACCGCAUGGUUCAAUAGUGAAAGACGGUUUUGCUUUCACUUAUAGAUGGAUCCGCGCCGCAUUAGCUAGUUGGUAAGGUAACGGCUUACCAAGGCAACGAUGCGUAGCCGACCUGAGAGGGUGAGCGGCCACACUGGAACUGAGACACGGUCCAGACUCCUACGGGAGGCAGCAGUAGGGAAUCUUCCGCAAUGGGCGAAAGCCUGACGGAGCAACGCCGCGUGAGUGAUGAAGGUCUUCGGAUCGUAAAACUCUGUUAUUAGGGAAGAACAAAUGUGUAAGUAACUAUGCACGUCUUGACGGUACCUAAUCAGAAAGCCACGGCUAACUACGUG
rnacentral:rRNA from 1 species